rnacentral:rRNA from 1 species
CGUGUGGUUUAAUUCGUUGCUACACGAAGUAACCUUACCUGGGUUUGACAUAGCAGUGGUAGGAAGCGAAAGCGGACCGACCUUCGGGAGCUGUUACAGGUGUUGCAUGGCUGUCGUCAGCUCGUGUCGUGAGAUGUUCGGUUAGGUCCGCUAACGAGCGCAACCCGCGUUGUGUGUUACAAGUGUCACACAAUACCGCCGGUAUUAAGUCGGGGGAAGGUGCGGAUGACGUCAAGUCAGCAUGACCUUUAUAUCCAGGGCUACACACACGCUACAAUGGUCAGCACAAUAGGUUGCCAAGUCGUGAGACGGAGCCAAUCCUCCAAAGCUGGCCUCAGUUCAGAUUGUAGGCUGCAACCCGCCUGCAUGAAGUUGGAGUUGCUAGUAACCGCAGGUCAGCUAUACUGCGGUGAAUACGUUCCCGGGGAUU